rnacentral:misc_RNA from 1 species
AACUGGAGCUGCGACGACC